rnacentral:rRNA from 1 species
AGUGAACGCUGGCGGUAGGCCUAACACAUGCAAGUCGAACGGCAGCACAGUAAGAGCUUGCUCUUACGGGUGGCGAGUGGCGGACGGGUGAGGAAUACAUCGGAAUCUACUUUUUCGUGGGGGAUAACGUAGGGAAACUUACGCUAAUACCGCAUACGACCUACGGUUGAAAGCAGGGGAUCUUCGGACCUUGCGCGAUUGAAUGAGCCGAUGUCGGAUUAGCUAGUUGGCGGGGUAAAGGCCCACCAAGGCGACGAUCCGUAGCUGGUCUGAGAGGAUGAUCAGCCACACUGGAACUGAGACACGGUCAAGACUCCUACGGGAGGCAGCAGUGGGGAAUAUUGGACAAUGGGCGCAAGCCUGAUCCAGCCAUACCGCGUGGGUGAAGAAGGCCUUCGGGUUGUAAAGCCCUUUUGUUGGGAAAGAAAAGCAGCAGGUUAAUACCCCGCUGUUCUGACGGUACCCAAAGAAUAAGCACCGGCUAACUUCGUG